AAUUCUAUUAUGUAAAUUGGUAACAAUUACAGUUGGAUACAAUUGGUAUAUAUAGUCUUUCCUAAAGACUAUUAUAAUUGCUAACUAUUAGUCAACUAACAGGAUAGUUGACUAGAACUAACUAGUCUAUAGUAUAUCUCUAAUACACCCCCGCAAGCUCAAGGUGGGUGAUGAAGGGAGAACUUGUCAACAACCUUGAGAUUGGAAGCCAAAGCAGCAAAUCUUGUGGGUGAUAAGGCUUUAACCCCCUGCCAUUAUUAGAUAUUGUUGAAGAUGACCCAGAUUCAGAAAAGAGAGAGUAGAGAGAGAGAGUGUGUUUGUUGUUACUGAAUUCUAUUAUGUAAAUUGGUAACUGUUACAGUUGGAUACAAUUGGUAUAUAUAGUCUUUCCUAAAGACUAUUGUAAUAGCUAACUAUUAGUCAACUAACAGGAUAGUUGACUAGAACUAACUAGUCUAUAGUAUAUCUCUAAUACACCCCCGCAAGCUCAAGGUGGGUGAUGAAGGGAGAACUUGUCAACAACCUUGAGAUUGGAAGCCAAAGCAGCAAAUCUUGUGGGUGAUAAGGC
rnacentral:lncRNA from 1 species